rnacentral:rRNA from 1 species
CCCUAUGGGGUGCACCAGGCACAUGGGGGAGUUCGUUCGCAGUUUGUUCCACGGGGGUCUGAUGGUUCGUAAGUGAUUUGGGGUGAGUAUGUUGCUGGCGAUACUCGGGCGCUUUCUGAAUAAACAAUUUUUGCGGAGCUUCGGGCGAUUCCAGGUUCGUUCCAAGUAGUCUUUGCGACUUGUAAGUGCAUUUUAAUGAAUGCAUUACGGGUGAUUGUUGGGUGUUUUCAGACAGUGUAUUUUUUUGCAUUGCGCGGCCGGGGCAGAGGAGGAAGCGGGCGUAGGGGUUGCGAAGGAGGUUGCGGGCAGGGAUCGGGUUGGCGUGGCGGGAGAGC